UGGCCAAGGAUGAGAACUCUAACCUGAUUGGAAAAGCUACUCUGAUGGGUUAAAGGAUUUACCUGAGGCCA
ensembl:snoRNA small nucleolar RNA SNORD93